GAUUAUGGCUCAGGAUGAACGCUGGCGGCGUGCUUAACACAUGCAAGUCGAACGGAGUUUUAAACGGAAGUUUUCGGAUGGAAGUUUAGAAACUUAGUGGCGGACGGGUGAGUAACGCGUGGGUAACCUGCCUCAUACAGGGGGAUAACAGUUAGAAAUGACUGCUAACACCGCAUAAUAUAGCGAAACCGCAUGAUUUUGCUAUCAAAUAUUUAUAGGUAUGAGAUGGGCCCGCGUCUGAUUAGCUAGCUGGUGGGGUAAAAGCCUACCAAGGCGACGAUCAGUAGCCGGCUUGAGAGAGUGACCGGCCACAUUGGGACUGAGACACGGCCCAAACCCCUACGGGAGGCAGCAGUGGGGAAUAUUGGACAAUGGGGGAAACCCUGAUCCAGCGACGCCCGCGUGAGUGAAGAAGUAUUUCGGUAUGUAAAGCUCUAUCAGCAGGGAAGAUAAUGACAGUACCUGACUAAGAAGCCCCGGCUAACUACGUGCCAGCAGCAGC
rnacentral:rRNA from 1 species